rnacentral:pre_miRNA from 1 species
CAAAAGUUUAAGUGCAAGCACAAAUGAAAUAACAACUGUCUUUGCACUUAAACUUUUG